rnacentral:rRNA from 1 species
UGGGGAACUUUGGACAAUGGGCGCAAGCCUGAUCCAGCCAUGCCGCGUGCGGGAAGAAGGCCUUCGGGUUGUAAACCGCUUCUGUCAGGGAAGAAACGAGUUUCUCGAAUACAGAGACUUAAUGACGGUACCUGAAGAAUAAGCACCGGCUAAUUUCGUGCCAGCAGCCGCGGUAAUACGUAGGGUGCAAGCGUUAAUCGGAAUUACUGGGCGUAAAGCGUGCGCAGGCGGUUAUGCAAGACAGAGGUGAAAUCCCCGGGCUCAACCUGGGAACUGCCUUUGAGACUGCAUAGCUGAAGUACGGUAGAGGGAGAUGGAAUUCCACGUGAAGCAGUGAAAUGCGUAGAUAUGCGGAGGAACACCGAUGGCGAAGGCAAUCCCCUGGACCUGUACUGACGCUCAUGCACGAAAGCGUGGGGAGCAAAC